UUGGAUAUAUAAGCUUGAACUCCCUUUAGCCAGAAGCACAGUCUGGCCUGACUUCAUAGCGGAAAGCUUUGCACAAUGAAAUAUACUCUCGCACUUCUGUUGAUAGCAGCCAUGGCGGCAUGUGUCCUGGCGGGAGGCUCUGGAGGUGGUUAUGGUGGCGGCUACGGAGGUGGCCGUGGAGGCUAUGGUGGUGGUUAUGGUGGAGGUCGCGGAGGCGGCUAUGGUGGCGGUUAUGGCGGCGGCCGUGGAGGAGGCUAUGGUGGCGGCUACGGAUACGGGAAAUAAUAAUUCCGGUUGUAAAAAUUAACUUGUUAAAAACUACACGUGUAUCUAUCCGUCAUUUAACAUCAUUAAUGAAUAAAUCAUCAGUCUUACAUAGA